GACCAAUGUAUUUCGUCGCGCAAAGCUUUGAGCUACCAAUAUUUUUCGUCGCGCAAAAUCACUUUGCGCGACCAAUCCAAGUCGCUUUGCGCGACUAAUAUGUUUUCGUCGCGCAAAGUCACUUUGUGUGACCCAUGAAAUGUCUUCGUCGCGCAAAGUCUUUCUUCACGAUCUUUGCGCGACGGAUUCUGCGCGACGAAGUUUCUGUCGCGCUGAAAUUUGUGCGACUACAAUGUAUUUUGCGCGACGAAAUUCUCUUCGUCGCGCAAAGUGUAAAAUGUAGUAGUG
rnacentral:lncRNA from 1 species